rnacentral:rRNA from 1 species
ACGGCUCAGUAACACGUGGACAACCUACCCUUAGGUCGGGGAUAAACCCGGGAAACUGGGUAUAAUACCCGAUAGUCCUCGACUGCUGGAAUGCAUCGAGUGCUAAAGCUCCGGCGCCUAAGGAUGGGUCUGCGGCCUAUCAGGUAGUAGUGGGUGUAGCGUACCUACUAGCCUACGACGGGUACGGGUUGUGAGAGCAAGAGCCCGGAGAUGGAUUCUGAGACACGAAUCCAGGCCCUACGGGGUGCAGCAGGCGCGAAAACUUUACAAUGCUGGAAACAGCGAUAAGGGGACCUCGAGUGCCAGGUUACAAAUCUGGCUGUCGUGAUGCCUAAAAAGCAUUGCAUAGCAAGGGCCGGGCAAGACCGGUGCCAGCCGCCGCGGUAACACCGGCGGCUCGAGUGGUAACCGUUAUUAUUGGGUCUAAAGGGUCUGUAGCCGGCCGGAUAAGUCCCUUGGGAAAUCUGGCAGCUUAACUGUCAGGCUUUCAGGGGAUACUGUCUGGCUCGAGGCCGGGAGAGGUGAGAGGUACUUCAGGGGUAGGGGUGAAAUCUUGUAAUCCUUGAAGGACCACCAGUGGCGAAGGCGUCUCACCAGAACGGACCUGACGGCAAGGGACGAAAGCUAGGGGCACGAACCGGAUUAGAUACCCGGGUAGUCCUAGCCGUAAACGAUACUCGCUAGGUGUCGGCCACGGUGCGACCGUUGUCGGUGCCGUAGGGAAGCCGUGAAGCGAGCCACCUGGGAAGUACGGCCGCAGGGCUGAAACUUAAAGGAAUUGGCGGGGGAGCAC